rnacentral:rRNA from 1 species
CGGUUAAGUUAGAAAGGGCGCACGGUGGAUGCCUUGGCACUAGGAGCCGAUGAAGGACGGGACGAACACCGAUAGCUUCGGGAGCUGUAAGCAAGCUUUGAUCCGGAGAUUUCCGAAUGGGGAAACCCACCACUCGUAAUGGAGUGGUAUCCAUAUCUGAAUACAUAGGAUAUGAGAAGGCAGACCCGGGAACUGAAACAUCUAAGUACCCGGAGGAAGAGAAAGCAAAUGCGAUUCCUGAGUAGCGGCGAGCGAAACGGGACCAGCCCAAACCAAGAGGCUUGCCUCUUGGGGUUGUAGGACACUCUGUACGGAGUUACAAAGGAACGAGGUAGAUGAAGAGGUCUGGAAAGGCCCGCCAUAGAAGGUAACAGCCCUGUAGUCAAAACUUCGUUCUCUCCUGAGUGGAUCCUGAGUACGGCGGAACACGUGAAAUUCCGUCGGAAUCCGGGAGGACCAUCUCCCAAGGCUAAAUACUCCCUAGUGACCGAUAGUGAACCAGUACCGUGAGGGAAAGGUGAAAAGCACCCCGGAAGGGGAGUGAAAGAGAUCCUGAAACCGUGUGCCUACAAGUAGUCAGAGCCCGUUAACGGGUGAUGGCGUGCCUUUUGUAGAAUGAACCGGCGAGUUACGAUCCCGUGCAAGGUUAAGCAGAAGAUGCGGAGCCGCAGCGAAAGCGAGUCUGAAUAGGGCGAAUUGAGUACGUGGUCGUAGACCCGAAACCAGGUGAUCUACCCAUGUCCAGGGUGAAGUUCAGGUAACACUGAAUGGAGGCCCGAACCCACGCACGUUGAAAAGUGCGGGGAUGAGGUGUGGGUAGGGGUGAAAUGCCAAUCGAACCUGGAGAUAGCUGGUUCUCUCCGAAAUAGCUUUAGGGCUAGCCUCAAGGUAAGAGUCUCGGAGGUAGAGCACUGAUUGGACUAGGGGCCCCUACCGGGUUACCGAAUUCAGUCAAACUCCGAAUGCCGAUGACUUAUCCUUGGGAGUCAGACUGCGAGUGAUAAGAUCCGUAGUCGAAAGGGAAACAGCCCAGACCGCCAGCUAAGGUCCCAAAGUAUACGUUAAGUGGAAAAGGAUGUGGAGUUGCUUAGACAACCAGGAUGUUGGCUUAGAAGCAGCCACCAUUUAAAGAGUGCGUAAUAGCUCACUGGUCGAGUGACUCUGCGCCGAAAAUGUACCGGGGCUAAACGUAUCACCGAAGCUGCGGACUGUUCUUCGAACAGUGGUAGGAGAGCGUUCUAAGGGCUGUGAAGCAAGACCGGAAGGACUUGUGGAGCGCUUAGAAGUGAGAAUGCCGGUAUGAGUAGCGAAAGAGGGUGAGAAUCCCCUCCACCGAAUGCCUAAGGUUUCCUGAGGAAGGCUCGUCCGCUCAGGGUUAGUCGGGACCUAAGCCGAGGCCGAAAGGCGUAGGCGAUGGAUAACAGGUUGAUAUUCCUGUACCACCUCCUCACCAUUUGAGCAAUGGGGGACGCAGGAGGAUAGGGUAAGCGCGGUAUUGGAUAUCCGCGUCCAAGCAGUUAGGCUGGGAAAUAGCAAAUCCGUUUCCCGUGAAGGCUGAGCUGUGAUGGCGAGCGAAUUUAGUAGCGAAGUUCCUGAUUCCACACUGCCAAGAAAAGCCUCUAGCGAGGUGAGAGGUGCCCGUACCGCAAACCGACACAGGUAGGCGAGGAGAGAAUCCUAAGGUGAUCGAGAGAACUCUCGUUAAGGAACUCGGCAAAAUGACCCCGUAACUUCGGGAGAAGGGGUGCUCUGUUAGGGUGCAAGCCCGAGAGAGCCGCAGUGAAUAGGCCCAGGCGACUGUUUAGCAAAAACACAGGUCUCUGCGAAGCCGUAAGGCGAAGUAUAGGGGCUGACGCCUGCCCGGUGCUGGAAGGUUAAGAGGAGCGCUUAGCGUAAGCGAAGGUGCGAAUUGAAGCCCCAGUAAACGGCGGCCGUAACUAUAACGGUCCUAAGGUAGCGAAAUUCCUUGUCGGGUAAGUUCCGACCCGCACGAAAGGCGCAACGAUCUGGGCACUGUCUCAACGAGAGACUCGGUGAAAUUAUAGUACCUGUGAAGAUGCAGGUUACCCGCGACAGGACGGAAAGACCCCGUGGAGCUUUACUGCAGCCUGAUAUUGAAUGUUGGUACAGCUUGUACAGGAUAGGUAGCCUUGGAAACCGGAGCGCCAGCUUCGGUGGAGGCAUCGGUGGGAUACUACCCUGGCUGUAUUGACCUUCUAACCCGCCGCCCUUAUCGGGCGGGGAGACAGUGUCAGGUGGGCAGUUUGACUGGGGCGGUCGCCUCCUAAAAGGUAACGGAGGCGCCCAAAGGUUCCCUCAGAAUGGUUGGAAAUCAUUCGCAGAGUGUAAAGGCACAAGGGAGCUUGACUGCGAGACCUACAAGUCGAGCAGGCGAAAGUCGGGCUUAGUGAUCCGGUGGUUCCGCAUGGAAGGGCCAUCGCUCAACGGAUAAAAGCUACCCCGGGGAUAACAGGCUUAUCUCCCCCAAGAGUCCACAUCGACGGGGAGGUUUGGCACCUCGAUGUCGGCUCAUCGCAUCCUGGGGCUGUAGUCGGUCCCAAGGGUUGGGCUGUUCGCCCAUUAAAGCGGUACGCGAGCUGGGUUCAGAACGUCGUGAGACAGUUCGGUCCCUAUCCGUCGCGGGCGCAGGAAAUUUGAGAGGAGCUGUCCUUAGUACGAGAGGACCGGGAUGGACGCACCGCUGGUGUACCAGUUGUUCUGCCAAGGGCAUCGCUGGGUAGCUAUGUGCGGACGGGAUAAGUGCUGAAAGCAUCUAAGCAUGAAGCCCCCCUCAAGAUGAGAUUUCCCAUUCCGCAAGGAAGUAAGAUCCCUGAAAGAUGAUCAGGUUGAUAGGUCUGAGGUGGAAGUGUGGCGACACAUGGAGCUGACAGAUACUAAUCGAUCGAGGACUUAACCAAUUU